CAGCUGUUGCGACGAUACCCCUCGUUGCAGUAGCGUAUACCAGUGUUGAAGCGUACCGAACGUCGAACAGCUACCUAUACUGGACAUACAAACGUCAACGAGCUAGACAAUGAUAAGGCAAUUUGGAUUGUAAAACACUCAGCAUUAUCGAAACCCAAAAUUUUGCAAGUUUAUUAAAAAGCAUUUUUUUUAUUGAUUCUGUGGCGAAAUUGAAGCAUAAAAUUAGCAGUCUGUGCCUGAUUCGUGAAUUAAUUCGUAGGGCGAACAGAUACUGGCUAAAACUUAAAAACUAAAUCACAGGCUAUUCUUUGGUUUGUUCAUAAAAAGUAAAAGAUAAAGUAAGUAAAAGAUUGAAUUCGAGUAUGUUAAAAGAUUCAUAACCAUAUAUUGUAUAGGAUUGUACCGUAUUGCUGAUUUGCUGCACCUAGGGUGGUCGUGAAACGAUCCUUGUCUACCGAGUUGAUCACCAAAAUUGUAGGUAUGAAUAGAACACUGUAAAAUCAAUGUUUAAAAAUGAAUUAAAUUAUAGCUUGAAGCUGUGUCAGCA